UCUGCAGCAUGCUUAUUUGCUCUGGGGAGAAGCUUGCUUCGGAUGUGAUGUGCAUAUUUUUACUAUGGAUGUGGAUGUUUUCCUCUUGACUGAAUAGAAAGUACUUAUUUUUGGCCCUUGCUCCAUCUGAGUCAGUGUAUUGUCAGUCCUUGGUUGUAUAUGGAGGAACUACACUUUCUUUCAGAUGAGCUCCAGUAUAUUUUAUUGCUCUGCCUAAGUUAAUCAAAUCUGUACUGAUUGAAUGCUGAUUGGGAAAGGAUUCCUCAUUCUGUGUUGGAUUUUUGUUUGCAUAAACCUUGCAGACUUUGGAUAUCUGGAAAUAUUUUGACUAUCAUGGAGAAGAUGUCAUCUACUGGGGCACUUUGGGAACAGAUUAACAUAAAGGACUAGCAGAGUUGGUCAUUUAUAUGCUUCAGUUUGGAUUGUACCAGAUGCCUUCUUGAACUGGGUUGUCAGUGGAAAGCUUGUUAUUGUAUCAUUGUCCCAGGUUCCUGACAACAUUCUGAGGGUGUUGACACAAGUCUGACUUUGGAAGCUUAUGCAGUUUAUAUGUCAAGACGACGAGGACUACAGUCUAAACAGAGCAAUGUGCAUUGAGUUGAUGCACAGGCUUGAAGAACAGCAGAGGG